rnacentral:rRNA from 1 species
ACGAGAAAGCGGGAGCAUCUCGCAAGUCUGUGGCGUCGGGUGAGUACACGUGGAUGAUCUGCCUGGAGUGGGGAAUAACGCUGGGAACCCGGCGCUAAUACCGCAUAUUCCCGAGAGGGGAGGGCAGCAAUGCGCUCGAGGAGGAGUCCGCGGCCGAUUAGCUAGUUGGCAGGGUAAAAGCCUACCAAGGCUAUGAUCGGUAGCCGGCCUGAGAGGGCACACGGCCACACUGGCACUGAAACGCGGGCCAGACUCCUACGGGAGGCAGCAGUGGGGAAUCUUGCACAAUGGGGGAAACCCUGAUGCAGCGACGCCGCGUGAGCGAUGAAGCCCUUCGGGGUGUAAAGCUCUUUCGGCAGGGAAGAUUAUGACGGUACCUGCAGAAGCAGCUGCGGCUAACUACGUGCCAGCAGCCGCGGUAAUACGUAGGCAGCAAGCGUUGUUCGGAGUUACUGGGCGUAAAGGGUGUGUAGGCGGCCUGUUAAGUUCCGUGUGAAAUCUCCCGGCUCAACCGGG